AAGUCGUAACAAGGUUUCCGUAGGUGAACCUGCGGAAGGAUCAUUAACACGUAUCCACGUAUCAACCAAUCGAGAACUUGUUUUCACGUCUCCCUUUGCAAUUUGAAUGAAUUGGCUAACCAGUUUGAGGGAAUUGAUGUGGAUUGCAUUCAUUUGCAAUCGGCCUUCCUGGUAUACUUAUGAAAAGCUAUUGAAAAAUAGUUCUUCGUUAACAAUUGUAUCUUAUUGCUUAAAGGCCAAAUUUCUUUCGAUAUUUUGAUCUCCAUCAUGAUCAAUAAAAUAUUGAAAGAGAAACCAAUUAUAAAACUAUUAUCACCACCUUUUUGCUAGUUGACUUUUUAUCUGUGAUUGUUUUGCUUUUGCAAUGUAAUCGCACGUUUAAUUACUUGAACGUUAAAAAAUACAACUCUUAGCAAUGGAUAUCUUGGUUCUC
rnacentral:misc_RNA from 1 species